UGUGUCUUGUAAUACAUGAAAAUUUACUCUGACCUGGUUUGGUAAUAACUGUUUUCUGUUUUCUUGGUAUAGCUCAACUAUGAAAGCUUUCAGUCUACCUUAAGCUAUUUAAAAAAUGAUUGUCUUCCAGGGUUGACAAUCAACUCUGAUAUGUCCUGCAGCUUUGGAACAUAUCUCAUAGAGUGGAGAUUUGAUCAUGGUCACCUGGUGUUUGCCACUUCUCCAGUUUUCUGAGCUGUUUGAGAAAUCCCAGUUAUUGUUCGGAAAAUCGGGACUCAGCAGACAAGGAGUGACUACAACAGAGGAACGUGUCAGGAGGUUAUUCAAAAAGAAGGUUGUGAUGGAGGAUUUUAUUAUUAUAAAGUACUUGCCUCGGAGAUUUUCUCAGCUCUCAAAGUUGCAGAAAAAGGGACUUAUGCUUGAGUUCAUCCAAGGCCAGAAGAAUGUGCAGUCUGUCUCAAAGGAUUCUGGAGCUGCUCAGGGAUGGAAAUGGAGAGGUGGUCAUCAAGAGCCUCCAUGUGUUCAUGAAUGUACUCCAGCACAAAGACAUCCUGGUAUCCAGCACCACUGCCCCAAAGCUGACUGAGGCACUCCGGGUGCUCUUUGACCACGUAAGGUUCUGCAUCCUGAGCCACAGGCAUCGGGUGCUUCCCAGAAACUUGGUGCCCUGUGGAUUUUCAGGCCUUUGC
rnacentral:lncRNA from 1 species